UACGGAGGGUGCAAGCGUUAUCCGGAUUUACUGGGUUUAAAGGGUGCGUAGGCGGUCCUAUAAGUCAGUUGUGAAAUACGGCAGCUUAACUGUCGAGGUGCAAUUGAUACUGCAGGACUUGAGUACAGACGAGGUAGGCGGAAUUGACGGUGUAGCGGUGAAAUGCUUAGAUAUCGUCAAGAACACCGAUAGCGAAGGCAGCUUACUAGACUGUAACUGACGCUGAUGCACGAAAGUGUGGGGAUCAAACAGG
rnacentral:rRNA from 1 species